UUAUCUGAUGAUGGAUGGUAUUAUAAUGUAUGUAUGUUCGAAAGUGAAACCUCAUCUCCAGAUUCAACAAUACAACCUCGACCACAAUUUUAUGGAAAAAAAUUGGUAAGCAUCCAUAAAAUGAGGAUUACAUGCUAAAAAACUACGGCAAAAUGGGCAUAUAUCAUACAUCACAAAAGGAAUUUACGCUGCUUCUAUAGGCUCUCCUACCUCUCAAGAAAAUAUGUCUACCGGAAUAAGAUGUUGCCACUUUGAUUUCCUCUUUUACCUGAAUGAACACAUUUGGUGAUACAGUACAGCUGACUGAAGAAAAUCAAAGACAACUUAUAAUCGUCUGCGCAAACAGACAUUCCAUCUCCAACUGACAAAGAAUACAGGCCAAGAAAAUCAGCACCUUCGUCAAUGGACUGCAAAAUUUUCAAGGGUAAUUCACAUGAUUUGUGCACCUUAAAACCUGAAAAGACCAUUCUGCUUCUGCACAUACCAUGUCCAAGUGUGCUUAGGUACUGGAGGGUGGUGUUCCUUGACUAAAUGAUGUUAAACGUUCAAUAAGACUGCCCUUCAAUGAUUGAGGAAUUUGUGAGAUAAACAUUGAUUUGGCAUCUGCAAUCAACAACUCCUUCAUCGCAUUAACAUCUGAUGCUUGAAAGUUUGAUUGUGUCCCCGACUUUUUGGAACGCAUAAAAGCAUAAACUUCUUCUGACCAACCACAUGUUCUUAGAAAUGAUGAAGCUUCCUGAUGGAGCUCUUUUUUUAAUUCUUCCACCUUUGCACGAGACUGAACAUCAUACUCAAGCAAGAUGCACUGAUCUGGUGAUUUUCUCUUUGAACCUGAGAUAGAAGACGAUUCAACAUGGCCAUUGGAUGUAUCCCUGUAUGCAGAAGAUAUUGCUGCCAGGCUUUCACUAUUCUCCCCAUUAUUUCUAUGCAGACUUCCCCUCAAGGUAUCCGUUGCAACACUUUGAAUUUUACCAUUUCCAUUUGCUAAAGAUGAUGAUCUAUUCACCUCUUUGUGGUAUGAAUCCUUUCCUGCAGCCUUUCCAUUACUUCCACCAUAAUCUUCAUGGGGACCGUCUGCUACAGGGCUGGUUGCUACAAUUGGAAGUUUUCCAUUUCCAUUUCCAUUUGUUAAGGCAUGUGAUCUUGUCCCUUGGCCAUUACCACAACUUUUGCUAACACCAUUCUUGUUUGAUAAUGAUGUAAUCUUUUUCUCUGUAAGAACUGAUGCUCUCACAUCACCAGUUCUAUUGCCAGAUUCUUUUGAAUGAAAAACCAUUUUGAUAUUACCAGAGGUAGGUCUCUUGAAGGAAGAUUUUUCAAAUAUGCCCAAAUCUCGCACUGGGCUCGAAUGCACUUUACUGACCUUAGACAUCACUACAUUUUCUUUCUCGGAGGGGUGGCCUAAAACUUGCUUUUCGUUUACUGUUUUUGCUAAGUCACUGGUCAAGAUUUUGGAUUUAGCCAAGCCAUUGGAGUGAUUGGAUUUUGAUCCAUUAAUUGAUAAACAUGUCUUGGUGGAUGGUGACCUCUGUUUGGUACGAGAGAAGAAAAGGAUGUACACCUUUUCUGACAACACUUCUUGCAAGAUUUUAGGAGAAACCUGAGAAUCAUUACAGCAGUACCAACGACCCACAGCAUCCUUAAUAUAUGCAUAAUAGUGCCCUGAAUCUGGUGAAAAGCCUGAGUGGACAAUAGUUCCAAAAAGAUUGUAUUCUGGAUGCAGAUCCUGGCUUGCUUUGCACAUGUAGCUUGAAAGCACUAGAACCUCCUCAAAUGCAAUGGGCUUAUCAAUCUUCCCACCAUAUAUUCCUUCAAACCUCUUGAGCUGAAUGACAAGAACAUUCGGUGCUUGAAGAAUUGACAUUUGCUUCCUUGCUGUCACCAAUUUCUUACAAUUUUCACAUCUGUACUUAUUGCUGCCAUCCAAAAUCUCAGGCUGAAAAAACUUUUGCAUUGCUUCUCUAAGCGAAUUACCAUGCAAAACAUCGAGACUAAUGUCCAUAAUCUCAUCAACCUUAUUGGACUCAGAAUCACAUGACAAGCACUUCACCUGGCUCUGCAGAGCACCCCCAAAUAUCUCCUUAACGAUGGUAUUGCUGCCGUUAAUGGAGUCAUUCCCCAUGCGGCGCAUCUUCAUGAGUCGCAAGCAGGUGUUGUGGCAAGCAUCAAUGACAUAACGCAGGAACUCAUGUGCAUCCUCUUGGCGACCGCACCGAAAGUGCUCAGCAAAAAUCCUGAGACAGCUCUGGAUCUUAGCUGGGGCAUCAAGAGUUAGGUCCAGACUUAGGGAACGGACUAUCCGUUUCUCCAGUAUGCAAAAUGGACACUCCCGCUUUCGCUCCCCGUUGGAAACCGAAUCACAGAGAGAAGAGUGUUGUAAACGAAGACAAAAAUUGGCAAGGGGAGGAGUGUAAGUAAGGCACUGAAGGACGCUAUUGAGAUAGCAAGAGUUGCCGAGAUUUCUCAACCCUAAAGGCGGGCCGUUCUUCCUUUUCUGACUGAGCAAACUCGGCUGCCAAUUCAUCUGCAAUUGCAAUCCCAUUCAUCAACACCAUCAAUAAUUCGAUGAUGAUGAAGAAGAAGACGGUGAUGAUGUCGUUCUUCCCUCUUCAUUUAAAACGACAAACUGAGCGAAGUCAUUGCUCGUCGACGACCGCCGCGACGAAUCGCAUCACGAAGGAUGGAUUAAGAGAAAGGAACAGUGAAAUUGGGCAUUUUUUGUUGGAUUAGAUACUGCAGAAGCAGUCCUACCAAAGCCCCAAAAUUUGAGUAAUCGGAUUUGUUGCGACUUGCGAGGGUUCUCUCUUCCCUUCCUUGUCCUUCUUCCUUCCCCUCUCCCCUCUC
rnacentral:misc_RNA from 1 species